rnacentral:guide_RNA from 1 species
AUAUAAUAUAAGACAACAAGUGCUCGGUUACAGUGAAUAUUGAUGUAAU